GCUGCCCCGCGUCAUGGGGUUCGCUUGAAGUUGCUAUAAACACGAAGCGUACAAAUACUUCGUUUUCACAGCGUUCGCAAUGACCUAAGGUCUGUUCAUUCUGCAAGCAUUCUGAGACAUCAGCUUGCAUAAUCGAUGCUUGCUAGAGAUUAUGCGACAGCUGCCAUGCCGUAAUCAACUAAGUCAUUAUUCAUUUAUUUUUUUUAAUUUCUCUACUACUUCUCUCACAAUUCUGUGUAAAUAUUUUCGUGUGAAUAAACUUCUUUCAGUGCAAA
rnacentral:lncRNA from 1 species